rnacentral:rRNA from 1 species
UACGGAGGGAGCUAGCGUUGUUCGGAAUUACUGGGCGUAAAGCGCACGUAGGCGGCUUUGUAAGUUAGAGGUGAAAGCCCGGAGCUCAACUCCGGAACUGCCAUUGAAACUGUAGAACUUGAGGAUGAGAGAGGUGAGUGGAAUUCCCAGUGUAGAGGUGAAAUUCGUAGAUAUUGGGAGGAACACCGGUGGCGAAGGCGGCAUCCUGGACCGAGAUUGACGCUGAGGCGCGAAAGCCAGGGGAGCAAACGGGG